rnacentral:rRNA from 1 species
AAUUUUUUCUGAGAAUUUGAUCUUGGUUCAGAUCGAAUGCUGACGGCGUGGAUGAGGCAUGCAAG